GGGCGAUUGGUUUAGUGGUAUAAUACCUCUUUGUACGUCUCCUCUUCCUCGUCAUCCGCAAGGACGGUUACUAAUCCCAUACAGAGCAUAGAAUGAAUUCAUCCAUUCAACCUAGAGGUGGUCCAGGGUUCGAUUCCCUGAUCGUCCA